AUACCCAGCAUACCUCCAGCAGAAGGAUUGGCCUGCUAGAGUUGUAAUGCGUUUGUAGCCUACAUGUGUGACUUAUAUAUAACAUUUGCUAACAUGAGUACACAUUGCAUACAAUGGUGUAAGUUUCCUUUUUUACCUUUAUAAACUCAACUUGCGUCUGUAAAUAUCUGUAUUCGUUGUACUAUUAUUAUUUCCGUAGCCUAGGCUACACUAAUGGUCACGUUCCAAGUCCUAUGCCUGUAAAGUGAUUUGAACGCCAAUCGGCUGCACUCCGGUACUGUACCUGCACCACGAAUAUGACAUCGGUUUUCCUCUAUAUAACCAUUAUAUUUUUUACGCUACUUACCUAUAAUGAUUUGGGAAAGAACCAUGAACCAACCAUUGAAUUAAAUUGUAAUGACGGUGCAAUUCACAUAUGUACUAACAUCAUAGAUUGUAGAUGGACUGGCUUCUUGAAAGACGUUGUAUUUGAUUGCCCGCUUGAUAAUGACAAGUUUCAAUGUUCAGUGGAGACGGAUGAAGUAAAGAAAAACAAGGAAGAACAACAAACAGUACCAGUGGCACCGAUAUGCAAAGACAAUAGAAGCUGUGGAUUCCCUACAACAUUUGUAGGUGAAAGUGUAAGAUGCACCAUACGUAUGCAAACACAACUACCAACAACAUCAAGAAAACCAGACAAUCUGAAGAAUAAAACAGAGCCAAAACACAAUAUACCCUGGUGGAUUUGGUUAAUAACUUUCCUUUGGCCUUUUGCCUUUGACAUUAGCGUUGGCAUUGAUGUUGGGAUUUGGAUUAAUCAAUGUCAGGAGAAAAAGGAUUAAUUUGAGACACGUGAUGAGGCGCAUAGAAGUGGAUGGAAUGAUAUAAAAAACAAAUGAGGAGGUAUUAUUGCAGGGGUUAACCUAUGGGUCCACUAGUAUGAGCCAUCAUCACCAUUUAGCCAGCAGGCUAUUUUAAUACUAAUCUCAUUGGGGUAAAUUAAUCAAAUGUUUUAAAAGAUAUAUAAAAUCUGCAUGGAUUAGUGUUUGCCAUCAUGUGUGACGCAGUGAUAAAACACCUGAAAGAAUGCCUACAUUAACAUACAGUACCAGUCAAAAGUUUGGAGACACCUACUCAUUCCAGGGUUUUUCUUAAUCUUUUACUAUCUUCUACAUUGUAGAGUAAUAGUAAAGAAGACAUCAAAACUUUGAAAUAACACAUAUUGAAUCAUGUAGUAAGCAAAAAAAGUGUUAAACAAAUCCAAAUAUAUUUUAGAUUUGAAAUUCUUCAAAGUAGCCACCCUUUGCCUUGAUGACAGCUUGGCACACUCUUGGCAUUCUCUCAACCAGCUUAAUGAGGAAUGCUUGAAGAAGUUCCCACAUAUGCUGAGCAGUUGUUGGCUGCUUUUCCUCCACUCUGCGGUCCCAAACAAUCUCAAUUGGGUUGAGUUCGGGUGAUUGUGGAGGACAGGUCAUCUGAUGCAGCACUCCAUCACUCUCCUUGGUCAAAUAGACCUUACACAGCUUGGAGGUGUGUUUUGGGUCAUUGUCCUGUUGAAAACAAAUGAUAGUCCCACUAACCUUACAGUGAAAUGCUUACUUACAGGCCUCUAACCAACAAUGCAGUUUAAAAAAUAUGAAUAAGAAUAAGAAAUAAAAGUAACAAGUAGUUAAAGAGCAGCAGAAAAAUAACAAUAGUGAGACUAUAUACAGGGGGUACCGGUACAGAGUCAAUGUGCGGGGGCACUGGUUAGUUGAGGUAAUAUGUACAUGUAGGUUAUUAAAGUUAUUAAAGUGACUAUGCAUAGAUAAUAACAUAGUAGCAACGGCAUAAUAGAGGGGAGGGGGGGGGCAAUGCAAAUAGUCUGGGUAGCCAUUUUAUUAGAUGUUCAGGAGUGUAAUGGUUUGGGGAUAGAAGCUGUUUAGAAGCCUCUUGGACCUAGACUUGGCACUCCGGUACCGCUUGCUGUGCGGUAGCAGGGGGGGCUGGAGUCUUUUUGGGGGGCUGGAGUCUUUAACAAUUUUAGGGCCUUCCUCUGACACUGCCUGGUAUAGAAGUCCUGGAUGGCAGGAAGCUUGGCCCCAGUGAUGUACUGGGCCAUACGCACUACCCUCUGUAAUGCCUUGCGGUCGGAGGCCGAGCAGUUGCCAUACCAGGCAAUGGUGCAACCAGUCAGGAUGCUGUUGAUGGUGCAGCUGUAAAACCUUUUGAGAAUCUGAGAACCCAUGCCAAAUCUUUUCAGUCUCCUGAGGGGGAAUAGGUUUUGUUGUGCCCUCUUCACGACUGUCUUGGUGUGCUUGGACCAUGUUAGUUUGUUGGUGAUGUGGACGCCAAGGAACUUGAAGCUCUCAACCUGCAGCUCCGUCAAUGAGAAUGGGGUCCGGUCCUCCUUUUCCUGUAGUCCACAAUCAUCUCCUUUGACUUGAUCACAUUGAGGGGGAGGUUAUUGUCCUGGCUCCACAUGAAGCUGGUUGAGCUGUCAUCAAGGCAAAGGGUGGCUACUUUGAAGAAUGUCAAAUAUAAAAUAUAUUUUGAUUUGUUUGACACUUUUGGUUACUACAUGAUUCCAUAUGUGUUAGUUACUUCAUAGUUUUGAUGUCUUCACUAUUAUCUACAAUGUAGAAAAUAGUCAAAAUUAAGAAAAACCCUGGAAUGAGUAGGUGUGUCCAAACCUUUGACUGGUACUGUACCUUAACAGAAAGUUUGAAAAUGGUUUACAGUAGUUACUACAAAUGUUAUUAUAAGGAGUAAUUAAUAUGACCGCCACAAAAUGACAUACGAUCAAAGGCUUCUCCCUCUUCUAUUGUUAGUUUAAUAAUCUGAUAAUAUGUGAAGCAUGACUCAGGUGGAACGUGGGUGGUUUCAUAACAUCCACUCACUCAAUCUACUCCCCAUGACUCAACCUUACUGUGAACUGCUGGGGCUCAAACUGGAUAUAGCUGUUUUAAUGUUUGCGACACUACUAACUACACUAACUGCAUUAAUCAUCAACUGAUAUGAGUAUUUUGACUUCAUCCUAACCCCAAUUACAAUACUUUUCAAGAUACCAAACAAAUAACAUAAUAUUUGGUUAAGAUAUGAUAAGAUGAUCAUUUUAGAAGAGAGCAAAGGACUUUUUUUGUCCAUGUCACUGGAAUGAUGGAAUGAACUUUAUUUGUCCAUACAGUGUAGUUACUGUUUUGCCUAACCCUCUCCUACCUAGGACUUAUUGUUUACUACUUUUAAAUACUAAUUGUGUUUGUGCACUUCCUCAAGAAAAUAUUUAUGUUCAAUUUUAAUUAUUGAAAUGUUUUUUUUUCUGUAAUUUAGGAUUUUAUAAUUGUGGGGAUUUCUUCUACUGUUGUUUUUGAUUUACAGUACCUACGGUGCAUUUUGUGCUUGCUUCAUUAUCCUUAUUGGGAUGCACUCAUUGCUUGAUCAUCAGCUAAAUUAUUCAAUUGUUCAUUGUAAUUCUAAUUGUCACGCCCUGGUCUUAGUAUUUUGUGUUUAUAUAUUAUUUGGUCAGGCCAGGGUGUGACAUGGGGUUAUUUUGUGUUGUGUUGUGGUAUUGGGGGUUUUAGUAGGUAUUGGGAUUGUGGCUGAGUAGGGGUGUCUAGCAUAGUCUAUGGCUGCCUGAGGUUCUCAAUCAGAGUCAGGUGAUUCUCGUUGUCUCUGAUUGGGAACCAUAUUUAGGUAGCCUGGGUUUCACUGUGUGUUUGUGGGUGAUUGUUCCUUUCUUAGUGUUUUGUAUUUCACCAGAUAGGCUGUUGUCAUUAUUUCAUUUUGUUAGAUUUGUAGUUUCUGUAUGUAUAGGUUUUCCUUCAUUAAAAUAUAUCAUGAAUCAUCAUCACGCUGCAUUUUGGUCCGAUCCUUGUUCUACCUCUUCGUCAGAGGAGGAGAUAGAAGAGAGCCGUUACACUAAUGUUACAUUUUAGAUUGUUCAAGCAACUUUAAACAAGGUGAAGAUUUCC
ensembl:lncRNA